GCCCGUUUAGCUCAGUGGUAGAGCGCGCCACUCGUAUAUCGAGGAUCAUGGUGAGGUCGGUUGUUCAAUCCAGCCAAUGGGCA